rnacentral:rRNA from 1 species
UACAGAGGUCCCGAGCGUUGUUCGGAUUCACUGGGCGUAAAGGGCGCGUAGGCGGCUCGGCACGUCCGUUGUGAAAUCGCCCGGCUCAACUGGGCGGGGUCAGCGGAUACGGCCGAGCUGGAGCAAGCUAGGGGGUAAUGGAAUUCCCGGUGUAGUGGUGGAAUGCGUAGAUAUCGGGAGGAACACCAGUGGCGAAGGCGGUUACCUGGAGCUUUGCUGACGCUGAUGCGCGAAAGCGUGGGGAGCGAUCCGG